rnacentral:rRNA from 1 species
CCUACGGGCGGCAGCAGUGGGGAAUAUUGCACAAUGGGGGGAACCCUGAUGCAGCAACGCCGCGUGGGUGAAGAAGUACUUCGGUAUGUAAAGCCCUGUCAGCAGGGAAGAAAAUGACGGUACCUGACCAAGAAGCCCCGGCUAACUACGUGCCAGCAGCCGCGGUAAUACGUAGGGGGCAAGCGUUAUCCGGAUUUACUGGGUGUAAAGGGAGCGUAGACGGCAAGGCAAGUCUGGAGUGAAAGCCCGUGGCUCAACCACGGGACUGCUUUGGAAACUGUGUUGCUGGAGUGCAGGAGGGGUAAGCGGAAUUUCUAGUGGAGCGGUGAAAUGCGUAGAUAUUAGGAGGAACACCGGUGGCGAAGGCGGCUUACUGGACUGUAACUGACGUUGAGGCUCGAAGGCGUGGGGAGCAAACAGGAUUAGAUACCCCAGUAGUC